AGUGAACGCUGGCGGCAGGCCUAAUACAUGCAAGUCGAACGGCAGCACAGCAGAGCUUGCUCUGUGGGUGGCGAGUGGCGGACGGGUGAGGUAUACAUGGGCAUCUGCGCAGUCGUGGGGGUUCACGUAGGGAAACUUAUGCCAAUACCGCAUGCGCCGUUCGGGGGAAAGCCGGGGACCUCCGGCCCUGGCGCGAGAGGAUGAGCCAAUGUCGGAUUAGCUAGUUGGUGGGGUAAAGGCCCACCAAGGCGACGAUCCGUAGCUGGUCUGAGAGGAUGAUCAGCCACACUGGAACUGAGACACGGUCCAGACUCCUACGGGAGGCAGCAGUAGGGAAUAUUGGACAAUGGGCGCAAGCCUGAUCCAGCCAUGCCGCGUGAGUGAAGAAGGCCUUCGGGUUGUAAAGCUCUUUUGUCCGGAAAGAAAAGCCUUGAGUUAAUACCCUGAGGUUCUGACGUUACCGGAAGAAUAAGCACCGGCUAACUUCGUGCCAGCCGCCGCAGUAA
rnacentral:rRNA from 1 species